rnacentral:piRNA from 1 species
UUGUUUUUCAGGGAUUCCAAUAUCUUGUU